UGAGCUGCCAUGUGGGUGCUGGGAAUUGAACCCGGGUCCUCUGGAAGAGCAGUCAGUGCUCUUAAAGACUGCGCCAUCUCUCCAGCCCCUUCUGGCUAGAUUUUUAAAGUAAGUCAUCCAUUUACAUGAACUCUUGGGUAACUUGCUACACUUUGUGAACUGCAGAAUCGAGGGUUGGCCAUUUGAUGCGAGUUAGCAAAGAAAGGCUGACCUAGCACACUGGAAUUUUGCAGACAUGUGGCUUUGUGACCAUUACAGAAUUUGCAACCCAAUUAUACUUAUGUUAUAGACCUGGCCUUGAGCCAAGACUUAAAUGCGUUCUGCCUCAGUCCUGUGUGCUGGACAUCCUGACCCUGCCCUGGGCAAGUGAGGACUGUAGUUAUAAAGGCGUUUCUAUCAGUGCCUCAUGGCAGGAAGUGAACAACAAAACAAGCCCUGCUCCUGCCUGCUCCCAACUACCUGGACCCUCCAUGCCACAGACAGAAAGCUGUGUAAAACAUGAAGGGUAAUGGCCUUUGUGCCAGUCCAGAGUAGAGAACUCAGGCUUUUGCUCCUGAGCAAACCUUCAAGCCUCAACUUCCUCAUCAGCAGACCGCCAUCACAAGCUAAGGAUCUACCUACUCUUCAGCUCAGCUGUGAAAGUGGCCCUGUUACUAGUCACCCACUUCCUGCAGGUGACAAACAGGUGCAGAGAUGCCUUCUAUGUAAUGGAGAGCGUGAACAAGAGCAGGACUGACUACUAUUCCUGCGAGGCACCAACAGAAUUUGCCUCUGGUUCCAGUCCUCUGCCAUUAGGAGUGCUUGAAUGCAUCUGACCAGAAGAGACCAGAAAGGGGAGCCACGAGGGUGAAAUGAGAUUCUUCAGCUAGGCAAAACACGCGGGCUAGGAUGUGGGUUCAUGAAAGAGUACUGGCCCAACAUCUGUGAGGCCCUGGACUCAAUCACCAUGAUGACUACCACUACCAUCCUACCCCCUCACACUACCAACUACAUAUCUGAAAUGGUAGUUUUAAGAUUCAGAAGACUGAAAAGCCAUAUGGAUGUUGUAUAGUAAUUUCCUCGGAUAAAACACUGCAUCUUGAAGGGAAAAUGUGAAGAUGCAAUAUGUUCUGGGUGAUGGUGGUGGAGAUAAAUAUUCCAUCUCGAAAGCAAACUCAGAAAGUAAGCGCAAAUGUUUCAUCAAGUUCCUGAAACUGACCAGAUUAACUAGGCCCAGUUGUCCCCGAGAUACAUAAGCAAUAAGAACUGGAGAGACAGCUCUGACCAGACCAGCUGCCUGUUGUUUAUGAGUUCCAUAGUUCCAGCUGCUACCGAUGCACUUUGAGUUUUUGGUGAUUAAAAAUAAACUCACUGGGGGCUGGAGAAAUGGCUCAGAGGUUAAGAGCACUGACUGCUCUUCCAGAGGACCGGGUUCAAUUCCCAGCACCCAC